AGAGUUUGAUCCUGGCUCAGGACGAACGCUGGCGGCGUGCCUAACACAUGCAAGUCGAACGGAGAAUUUCGAAGAGUUUACUUAGAGAAAUUUUUAGUGGCGGACGGGUGAGUAACGCGUGGGUAACCUACCCAUAAACCCGGGACAACCCUUGGAAACGAGGGCUAAUACCGGAUAAUCUUUUGGUUUGGCAUCAAACUUAAAGAAAAGGUGGCCUCUGUAUAUGCUACCGAUUAUGGAUGGACCCGCGUCUGAUUAGCUAGUUGGUGGGGUAAAGGCCUACCAAGGCGACGAUCAGUAGCCGGCCUGAGAGGGUGAACGGCCACACUGGGACUGAGACACGGCCCAGACUCCUACGGGAGGCAGCAGUGGGGAAUCUUCCGCAAUGGACGAAAGUCUGACGGAGCAACGCCGCGUGUAUGAUGAAGGUCUUCGGA
rnacentral:rRNA from 1 species